AUUUGCUACAUCAUUUACAACGGCUUCUGCAAUGAUGGGAAUUGUCCUUCUCUUUUUGUUUGCCUCUAUGGACUCUAUGGUAUUUACAACAGAGGCAUACGCGCKGUUUGCUAGAGAAGCUGUCACAGGCAAGCGUAGUCGAGCGGCAAUGAAAGUGGAAAACCGCAGAUCACUAGAAGCCAUCUUCAAACGCCAGCCAUGUGACUUUUGUCGAGAUGAAUUAGGAUUUAUUGAUGUCGAUGAAAACUGCUAAGACGCGAAAUAUAGAGACAAUACAGCCUACCAAAUAAACAAAGAAAAAUAUUGUGUUAAUGUAAAGCAAUAAUGUUGUGCGGUAUAUUUAUUAUAUAUUGGGUUUGGAAAUAAAUAGCAUGUGAUAACG